rnacentral:rRNA from 1 species
UACGUAGGGGGCAAGCGUUGUCCGGAAUCAUUGGGCGUAAAGAGCGUGUAGGCGGUUCGGUAAGUCGGCUGUGAAAGUCCAGGGCUCAACCCUGGGAUGCCGGUCGAUACUGCCGGACUAGAGUACGGAAGAGGCGAGUGGAAUUCCCGGUGUAGUGGUGGAAUGCGUAGAUAUCGGGAGGAACACCAGUGGCGAAGGCGGUUGCCUGGAGCUUUGCUGACGCUGAUGCGCGAAAGCGUGGGGAGCGAUCCGG